UACGUAGGUGGCAAGCGUUGUCCGGAUUUACUGGGCGUAAAGGGCGUGCAGGCGGUCUGUUAAGUCUAGGGUGAAAGCUCCCGGCUCAACUGGGAGAGGUCCUUGGAUACUGGCGGACUUGAGGGAUGCAGAGGAAAGUGGAAUUCCCGGUGUAGUGGUGAUAUGCGUAGAUAUCGGGAGGAACACCAGUGGCGAAGGCGGCUUUCUGGGCAUUUCCUGACGCUGAGGAGCGAAAGCGUGGGGAGCGAACAGG
rnacentral:rRNA from 1 species